UGCCAGGGUCAUAGAGCUAGUAAGUAUCAGAGGCCAUACUGUGAACUCAGGUCCUGAUACCUGGCCCAGUAUUCUUUCCACUGGGUCAAUCUAGCUCCUGGGUCUUUUGGGAGUGUUAAGGGACAGACAGAUUUUAUCCAGCUUAGAAAGUGAUGCAACCGAGCUCCACCCCCAGAUUCUAUCUUCUAAGUCUUUAAGAGGGCAAAAAAUCAGUUGAGAGAAAUAACCCAUUCUUCUUUCAAUUACAUCAUGGGCCCCCCUCUUCUCUUCUGUGGGCUCAUUUUUCUCUUGGAAACAGAAUCUGUGCAUGCUAAAAUCACUCAGAUCCCAAGACAUCUCAUCAUAGAGAAAGGACAGGAGGUGAAAAUGAGAUGUGAGCAAGAUACUCAGGAUGCUCGCAUGUAUUGGUAUCAACAAUCCCCAGAGAAAAGUCUUGUGCUUGUUCUUUACUCUCUGGGAAAGGACAAUACAGAGAAUGGUGAUGAUCCUCAAGGAUUUAAAGCCCAGAGACCAGAAACCAACAUUUUUAUUCUCAGCAAACUAUCUGCAGAACCCAGGGACUCUGGAAUGUAUUUCUGCAGUUCUGAUCACAGUGAUGAAAAGACAUCUAAUUUCUUUACACAAAACCCCUUUCUUUAA